rnacentral:rRNA from 1 species
AGAGUUUGAUCCUGGCUCAGAUUGAACGCUGGCGGCAGGCCUAACACAUGCAAGUCGAGCGGUAGCACACAGAGCUUGCUCUCGGGUGACGAGCGGCGGACGGGUGAGUAAUGUCUGGGAAACUGCCUGAUGGAGGGGGAUAACUACUGGAAACGGUAGCUAAUACCGCAUAACGUCGCAAGACCAAAGUGGGGGACCUUCGGGCCUCAUGCCAUCAGAUGUGCCCAGAUGGGAUUAGCUGGUAGGUGGGGUAACGGCUCACCUAGGCGACGAUCCCUAGCUGGUCUGAGAGGAUGACCAGCCACACUGGAACUGAGAGACGGUCCAGACUCCUACGGGAGGCAGCAGUGGGGAAUAUUGCACAAUGGGCGCAAGCCUGAUGCAGCCAUGCCGCGUGUGUGAAGAAGGCCUUCGGGUUGUAAAGCACUUUCAGCGGGGAGGAAGGCGAUAAGGUUAAUAACCUUGUCGAUUGACGUUACCCGCAGAAGAAGCACCGGCUAACUCCGUGCCAGCAGCCGCGGUAAUACGGAGGGUGCAAGCGUUAAUCGGAAUUACUGGGCGUAAAGCGCACGCAGGCGGUCUGUCAAGUCGGAUGUGAAAUCCCCGGGCUCAACCUGGGAACUGCAUUCGAAACUGGCAGGCUAGAGUCUUGUAGAGGGGGGUAGAAUUCCAGGUGUAGCGGUGAAAUGCGUAGAGAUCUGGAGGAAUACCGGUGGCGAAGGCGGCCACCUGGACAAAGACUGACGCUCAGGUGCGAAAGCGUGGGGAGCAAACAGGAUUAGAUACCCUGGUAGUCCACGCUGUAAACGAUGUCGAUUUGGAGGUUGUGCCCUUGAGGCGUGGCUUCCGGAGCUAACGCGUUAAAUCGACCGCCUGGGGAGUACGGCCGCAAGGUUAAAACUCAAAUGAAUUGACGGGGGCCCGCACAAGCGGUGGAGCAUGUGGUUUAAUUCGAUGCAACGCGAAGAACCUUACCUGGUCUUGACAUCCACAGAACUUUCCAGAGAUGGAUUGGUGCCUUCGGGAACUGUGAGACAGGUGCUGCAUGGCUGUCGUCAGCUCGUGUUGUGAAAUGUUGGGUUAAGUCCCGCAACGAGCGCAACCCUUAUCCUUUGUUGCCAGCGGUUCGGCCGGGAACUCAAAGGAGACUGCCAGUGAUAAACUGGAGGAAGGUGGGGAUGACGCCAAGUCAUCAUGGCCCUUACGACCAGGGCUACACACGUGCUACAAUGGCAUAUACAAAGAGAAGCGACCUCGCGAGAGCAAGCGGACCUCAUAAAGUAUGUCGUAGUCCGGAUUGGAGUCUGCAACUCGACUCCAUGAAGUCGGAAUCGCUAGUAACCGUAGAUCAGAAUGCUACGGUGAAUACGUUCCCGGGCCUUGUACACACCGCCCGUCACACCAUGGGAGUGGGUUGCAAAAGAAGUAGGUAGCUUAACCUUCGGGAGGGCGCUUACCACUUUGUGAUUCAUGACUGGGGUGAAGUCGUAACAAGGUAACCGUAGGGGAACCUGCGGCUGGAUCACCUCCUU